rnacentral:lncRNA from 1 species
GGGGGCGGAGGGCGCUGGGCGUGGCUGAGGCUCCCCAGAGAAAAGCCGGUCUUCGGGCCGGGGAGACAGAGUGGGUGCCGGCACCCGGUCAGCAGUUGUCAGGCGCCACACUGGAGAGCACGGCGUGCGGUUGGGCAGGCUGUGUGCUCGGCCUCCCGACCCCAGCGCCCCCCGUGGGAGCGGGUCCGCUCCGCCCGCACUGCGGCCCUGGUCCGCGGGGCAGCGCCCCCUGGUGGGGUCGAGGCGAAGUUCACCUCUCAAGUGGGUGACUCCAUGGAUACGGAAUGUGCAGGAGAAAGAGCCAGGCAUGCGGAAGCCGAGUGGGAGACCGUCUGGGGCAUAUCUGCAUUUCCGGGGUGAUGAAGGCUCUGCGAGCAGGCAGCGGGGAGCUUAUGGAGCCUCAUGAACAGAGUGGAAAAGCUCUAAGUUUCACACUGUAAAAGGAUAAACGUUAUGUAUCCUGUGUUUCCUUAAAACUGUUCUAUAAACUAUGUAAUCCUAUGGAUAUGCUUGUAUAAGUAUUCAGAGAUGGAAAUUAAUAUUACACACCAAUUGCUAUUUAUAAAAAAGCCUAGAAACAAAAUACCCACAAAUAAUAUCUGCA